rnacentral:rRNA from 1 species
GAUGAACGCUGGCGGCGUGCCUAAUACAUGCAAGUCGAGCGAACAGAUAAGGAGCUUGCUCCUUUGACGUUAGCGGCGGACGGGUGAGUAACACGUGGGUAACCUACCUAUAAGACUGGAAUAACUCCGGGAAACCGGGGCUAAUGCCGGAUAACAUUUAGAACCGCAUGGUUCUAAAGUGAAAGAUGGUUUUGCUAUCACUUAUAGAUGGACCCGCGCCGUAUUAGCUAGUUGGUAAGGUAACGGCUUACCAAGGCAACGAUACGUAGCCGACCUGAGAGGAGGAUCGGCCACACUGGAACUGAGACACGGUCCAGACUCCUACGGGAGGCAGCAGUAGGGAAUCUUCCGCAAUGGGCGAAAGCCUGACGGAGCAACGCCGCGUGAGUGAUGAAGGUCUUCGGAUCGUAAAACUCUGUUAUUAGGGAAGAACAAAUGUGUAAGUAACUGUGCACGUCUUGACGGUACCUAAUCAGAAAGCCACGGCUAACUACGUG